CAAUAGCGUAUAUUAACGUUGUUGCAGUUAAAAAGCUCGUAGUUGGAUUUCUGGAGGGAGCGUCGGCCCGUAUUUACGAGUGCGUGACGUCUCUGUCCAUCCUUGAGGGAAGGCACGGCAUUGAUUUGUUGUGUCGGAUCGCAUCAUUUACUGUGAAAAAAUUAGAGUGUUCAAAGCAGGCUUUCGCUUGAAUACAUUAGCAUGGAAUAAUAAGAUAGGACUUUGGUGCUAUUUUGUUGGUUGAGCCUAAAGUAAUGAUUAAUAGGGAUAGUUGGGGGCACCUGUAUUGCGUUGUCAGAGGUGAAAUUCUUGGAUUUACGCAAGACAAACAGCUGCGAAAGCGUCUGCCAAGGAUGUUUUCAUUA
rnacentral:rRNA from 1 species